rnacentral:rRNA from 1 species
AUGAUCCCCCACACUGGUACUGAGACACGGACAAGACUCCUACGGGAGGCAGCAGUGAGGAAUAUAGGUCAAUGGGCGCAAGCCUGAACCAGCCAUCCCGCGUGAAGGAAGACUGCCAUAUGGGUUGUAAACUUCUUUUAAGCACCAAGAACAGCAUCUACGUGUAGGUGUUUGACGGUAGUGCAGGAAUAAGCACCGGCUAACUCCGUGCCAGCAGCCGCGGUAAUACGGAGGGUACAAGCGUUAUCCGGAUUCAUUGGGUUUAAAGGGUACGUAGGUGGCUUUGUAAGUCAGUGGUGAAAUCCUGCCGCUUAACGGUAGAACUGCCAUUGAUACUGCAAAGCUUGAGUACAGUUGAGGCAGGCGGAAUGUGCAGUGUAGCGGUGAAAUGCUUAGAUAUUGCACAGAACCCCGAUUGCGAAGGCAGCUUGCUAAACUGUAACUGACACUGAGGUACGAAAGCGUGGGGAGCGAACAGGAUUAGAUACCCUGGUAGUCCACGCCGU